UACGUAGGGUGCAAGCGUUAAUCGGAAUUACUGGGCGUAAAGCGUGCGCAGGCGGUUCUGUAAGAUAGAUGUGAAAUCCCCGGGCUCAACCUGGGAAUUGCAUAUAUGACUGCAGGACUUGAGUUUGUCAGAGGAGGGUGGAAUUCCACGUGUAGCAGUGAAAUGCGUAGAUAUGUUGAAGAACACCGAUGGCGAAGGCAGCCCUCUGGGACAUGACUGACGCUCAUGCACGAAAGCGUGGGGAGCAAACAGG
rnacentral:rRNA from 1 species